rnacentral:snRNA from 1 species
GCAUGUGAUGGCGAUCUGGUUGCGACAUCUGUCACCCCAAUAGCCAGAGUUGAUGCUGCGGCUGUGGCUGGCUUCACGGGUGUCCCCUUCCUCCCUCCCUGCUCCGUGUUUGUCCCUCCCCAAGCUGCGCACUUGGCGGAAGAGGACGACUUUUGCCGAUAGAGGCGGACCGUUCCUCCAGGAAGGGUGUACGAGUAGAGCAGCUGUGCUCCCCUGCUAGAACCUUCAAACAAGCUCUCAAGGCCCAUUUGUAGGAGAACGUAGGGUAGUCAAGCUUCCAAGACUGCAGACACAUCCAAACGAGGUGCUGCAUGUGGCAGUCGGCCUUUU